GCACUGCUGAUGAGUCCCAUACCAAGGCGAAACGGCCGUCCAGUGU
rfam:Schistosoma margrebowiei strain Zambia genome assembly, scaffold: SMRZ_contig0000151